GCUUGUCUCAAAGAUUAAGCCAUGCAUGUCUAAGUGUAAAUAAGUCUAUACUGUGAAACUGCGAAUGGCUCAUUAAAUCAGUUAUCGUUUAUUUGAUGAUCUCUUACUACUUGGAUAACCGUAGUAAUUCUAGAGCUAAUACGUGCGUAAAUCCCGACUUCUGGAAGGGACGUAUUUAUUAGAUAAAAGGCCGACCGGGCUCUGCCCGACUCGCGGUGAAUCAUGAUAACUUCACGAAUCGCACGGCCUCGUGCCGGCGAUGUUUCAUUCAAAUUUCUGCCCUAUCAAUUGGCGAUGGUAGGAUAGAGGCCUACCAUGGUGUUAACGGGUGACGGGGGAUUAGGGUUCGAUUCCGGAGAGGCAGCCUGAGAAACGGCUACCACAUCCAAGGAAGGCAGCAGG
rnacentral:rRNA from 1 species